CAUCAGCCGUGGAUAUCCGUGCCCAACGUUUGACCGUCCGUCUUAUUUAAAAAAUUUGUGAAAAAUUUGAAAAUAUUUAGUCACACAUAAAGUGCUAUUCAUGUUUUAUCAUCUAAUAGCAAUAAAAAUAUUAAUCAUAAAAAAUUUUUAAAUAAGACGAAUGGUCAAACGUUAAACGUGAAUAGUGUAAAACUACACUUAUU
rnacentral:pre_miRNA from 1 species